GAACAUUUCCACCACACACAUGCGAAAAGUAUUGCAUACAUGGGUGGAGAAGACAACUGCACUUAUUUAACAGUUGGGAAGGAAUAGCACUUCAACAUGAGACCAAUAGAGGUCGUUCAAGGUCAUCCUUGGACCUGCCUACAGAUCCUACGAGGACGCCCUGACCUGCCUGAGUCUGCCGAGGCUGGCCACAAGACACCAGGAAGCCUUGGAAAAAUUUGGGGAAGGGCUGCUGCAUCAUCCACGCCUCCGCCACCUGCUACCCUCA
rnacentral:misc_RNA from 1 species